rnacentral:lncRNA from 1 species
UUUUAAAACAAAUACAAAGUCAUUGUGUUUGGAGUGGGGCAGAUGAGGAGAGAGGGUGGAGGAGGGUAGCUAGUGUUCCGGAAAUAGAAUUGAAAAUCCAAGUCUCCUCCUAGCCCAGGAAACCUCUCCACAAAGGUGGGAGAGAAAGAAGACAAUGGAUUACUGAACAGCUGUAACCCAGAAUGCCAGGAGCCUCCGAGGCAGCCCUUGGACAGACUGCAAAGACACAGGAACCCAUCCCUUUCCAUAGGCUCCGAUUCGGCUCCUUACAGACAUGCUUCUGAGGUGUGUGACCGAGACCCCCUGGGCAAGGGUGACCACAGUGACAGUGCUAACCAAGCCAAGGGAGGAAGAUGGUCACCUAUGCUUUGUCACCAUUGGGGUGACAUUGGCUUCAAAUGUCCCUAUAGCACCCAAGAAAGCAAGCAGAGAAGGGGGAAGUGCUGGAGCCCUGCGGGCCUCUGGCUGGGCGGCUGGGCCUCUGCCACAUGGCCCCAGGACAUCAGCUCAGGUUCUGAUCCGUGGCCUUGGAGGGCGCCAGUUGGGCAUGCUCUGGUCUCGCAGGUGUUAGCCACGUGGGCUUGUGAGCUACGUGAGGCCACAUUCCCCUCACCUGGCCCGUUGCCUGUCCCUCUCCACUCCCAGGGAAAUAACUUCAUUGUUUUUCUUGGCUUUAAACUGAAAUAUUACUUUUAAUUUUUCUUUUGUGGGCUGGGGAUGUGUCUCAAGUGGUAAUGCGCUCGCCUGGCAUGCACGGGGUGCUGGGUUCGAUCCUCAGCACCACAUAAAAUAAAGAUUUUGUGUCCACCUAAAACUGAAAAAUAAAUAUUAAAAAAUUCUCUCUCUCUUCUCUCCCUCUCUUCUCUCUCAAAAAAAAUAUUUUGUAGUGGAUGUGCAACAACUGUACAUAUUUAUGGGUGGGGUGCAGUGGUGGUACCUGGAUACAGUGUAUUUAAAAAAAUUUAUUAAAUAUUCUUUUAAUAGACCUUUAUUUUAUGUAUUUAUAUGUGGUGCUGAGAAUCGAACCCAGGGCCUCACACAAGCUAGGCCAGCGCUCUGCCACUGAGCCACAACCCCAGCCCAAUAUAUGUAUUUUAUGCAGUGAUUGAAACAGAGUAGCAAAUCCAUGACCUCAAAUGUUGCCAUUUCUUUGUGAGACUUUCCAGAAUCCCCUCUUCUAGCUAGUUUGGAGUAUAUAUUUCAUUAUGGUUAACUGCAGACCCAGUGCUGUGUAAUCUAACAUCAGAAUUUACUUUCUUUUCUUUUUUCCUUUUCGGUACCAAGGAUUGAACUCAGGAGCACUUAACCACUGCACAUCCCCAGCCCUCCCCCCCAUUUUUAUUUUUUUUUAAUUUUGAGACAGGGUCUUGCUAAGUUGCUUAGGUCUGGCUUUGAACUUGCAACCCUCCUGCCUCAGCCUCCUAAGGGGCUGGGAUUACCAGUGUGCACCACCUGUAUCGGCUUAGAAUUUACUCUUCUUACCUAAUUGUAACCUUGUUUCCAUUGAUUUAUAUCUCAUCCUCCUUACCCCACUACCCUCCCUGGAAAAACUAAUUAAUCAAUUAAUGUUCUGAGCAAGCAUAAAGUAAGGGUAGGUGUUGGGUGAAUACUGGUAGCGCCUGGGAGCGCUGUUCUGGGCAGCGAGGGGAGGACUUGAGCACUUGCCCAGCAGGCACCCGGUCCUGAUUCCAUCUGCAGCAUCCCGGGAAGAAAAAGGGAGGUGUGGGCUCUGAAAGCGCUGAGUGAGCUUCUGUCUUACCAGAGAGGCGAGGCCGAUUCCCUGCUCCUCUGGGGGAGUUAAAGAGCACCCAUCAGAACCAGGAGGAGGCCCGCGUCUGAGUGAGACCUCGCUUUCGGCUCUGCUUGCUGGGAACUGAGGCUGCCUCUGCAUCACCGUUCGUCACUCAGGAGGAAAAGCAGCCCAGGAUGGCCAGAUAAGAGCGCAGAAGCCUGGUGUUCUUUUUUUU